rnacentral:rRNA from 1 species
UGGGGAAUCUUGCACAAUGGGGGCAACCCUGAUGCAGCGACGCCGCGUGAGCGAUGAAGCCCUUCGGGGCGUAAAGCUCUUUCGACCGGAACGAUAAUGACGGUACCGGGAGAAGAAGCUGCGGCUAACUACGUGCCAGCAGCCGCGGUAAUACGUAGGCAGCGAGCGUUGUUCGGAGUUACUGGGCGUAAAGAGUGCGUAGGCGGUUUUCUAAGUUCGGUGUGAAAUCUCCCGGCUUAACUGGGAGGGUGCGCCGAAGACUGGGAAGCGGGAGUGUGGGAAAGGCAGGCGGAAUUCCUGGUGUAGCGGUGAAAUGCGUAGAUAUCAGGAGGAACACCGGCGGUGUAGACGGCUUGCUAGACCAUAACUGACGCUGAGGCACGAAAGCGUGGGUAGCAAACA